rnacentral:rRNA from 1 species
UACGUAGGGGGCAAGCGUUGUCCGGAAUCAUUGGGCGUAAAGAGCGUGUAGGCGGCCAGAUAAGUCCGCUGUGAAAUCUCGAGGCUCAACUUCGAGCUGUCGGUGGAAACUGUCUGGCUAGAGUCCGGAAGAGGAGAAUGGAAUUCCUGGUGUAGCGGUGAAAUGCGCAGAUAUCAGGAAGAACACCCGUGGCGAAGGCGGUUCUCUGGACAGUUCCUGACGCUGAGGCACGAAGGUCAGGGGAGCAAACGGG